rnacentral:lncRNA from 1 species
UCUUCAGUCCCUGGAUGCACAACCUGAACAGCUGGCCCUGAGACCCAAGGAAUUCUUCCGGGCCUAUGGCAUCGAGAUGCUCACUGAAGCUCAGGUGGUCACAGUGGACGUGAGAAAUAAGAAGGUUGUGUUCAAGGACGGCUUCAAGCUAGAGUACAGCAAGCUGCUGCUGGCACCAGGAAGUAGGUAGGUCAACGUCACUGCCUCUGCCAAACACUAGGCAGCAGGACAUCAGCCAGGGUGGGAGAUCCUCACUGAUCCCACCGAAUCUUAGCCCUAAGACCCUGACCUGCAAAGGGAAAGACAUAGAGAAUGUGUUCACCAUCCGCACGCCUGAGGAUGCCAACCGCGUGCUGCGGCUGGCCCGGGGCCGAAAUGCUGUUG